AUUGAACGCUGGCGGCAUGCCUUACACAUGCAAGUCGAACGGUAAGGCCCUUCGGGGUACACGAGUGGCGAACGGGUGAGUAACACGUGGGUGAUCUGCCCUGCACUUCGGGAUAAGCCUGGGAAACUGGGUCUAAUACCGGAUAGGACCACUGCCUGCAUGGGUGGUGGUGGAAAGCUUUUGCGGUGUGGGAUGGGCCCGCGGCCUAUCAGCUUGUUGGUGGGGUGAUGGCCUACCAAGGCGACGACGGGUAGCCGGCCUGAGAGGGUGACCGGCCACACUGGGACUGAGAUACGGCCCAGACUCCUACGGGAGGCAGCAGUGGGGAAUAUUGCACAAUGGGCGCAAGCCUGAUGCAGCGACGCCGCGUGAGGGAUGACGGCCUUCGGGUUGUAAACCUCUUUCAGCACCGACGAAGCGCAAGUGACGGUAGGUGCAGAAGAAGGACCGGCCAACUACGUGCCAGCAGCCGCGGUAACAC
rnacentral:rRNA from 1 species